AGUCACAUAUUCAAGAUAGGAGAAGGUCAAGAUCGACCCUGGGAACGAGGCUACGUGCCGAUUGCGUUGGCAUAUAGUGGAUCACUGGCUAUUUUGUCCCCGUGCCGUUUGAGAAGCCUCGCUUGUUGUUGGAUUUAAGUGAGCCCAGUUUUAAUAUUAAACAGGGACCUACAAUUAAGUUAUGCAUGACUUACAACUGACCUUUCAUGGCAUCCCAUAUUGUAAACACAACUGUCAUCUGGAUGGAGUCAAGAACCCUCAUUGAGCUUUUUAACAGUGGCUCCCUGCCUGUGUUCCAAGCAUACUCAAGACACAUCUUACAUUCAGACGAAAUGCUUUUUUCACUCAAUGUCUUCUCUGAAAAGCAGUCCUUCCGAUGCUCGAAACCUGUUUUCUUUGUUACUCCAAGCCUUCACUGUCCUCGUGGUUGGUCUCUAUGAUGGAGACCAAGUGUGCUGAUCUUUGAUUUGAUGAAGUCUUCACCUCUGCAGAAGCAAUCUGCUACCAAAGUCUUUCUCUCACUUAACAGAAAUUUCUGUAUUUAGGGACUUCGACUCAAAUGUGAGUGUCAUUUUUGGAAAAUGUAGAAUAGCAUAUCCUUUGGAUUCGUUGUGUAGUCCACAUGUUGAUACUAAAGGAUAUGUUGAUAUGUGUCUUGCCUUCUUUCUCCCAUUGCCAAUCCUGUAUCAGUUAAGUUCCUGCUUUCUUUUGUUUGUUCUUUGAGACCACUGCUAUACUCAAGACACUCAGCAGGAUUAUCACUGUGUUUCACAUUCAUGGUAACAUGCUUGCUUUUCCUAAUGUUAGCAGUUAGGAGACCACCUACCGGAUGUAUCUGCAUCAGUAUAUCAAGUGUGCCUGAUCAUCGUCACUGAGGAGUCAUGCCAAGUAGGCAUAAUGCUUUUGCCUUGACCCUUUUGCAAGAGCCUGUCAUCAAUCUGCUGCAUAGCUUCCUCAGACGGUCAAUAUGAGUAUCCAGAAAUAAUUAAUUCCAAAAGCCUGAUAUGUAAAUGUGUUUCCAGGCGAUCUGAACACAAGCACCACUUCACUAGAGAGAACUGAUGUUCUGAGGCUGGAACAACAUAGAAGGGACAAUCACAUACAAGGCUUCAAGUUGCCUAAGAAAUUAACCAUGAAAGAUGGAAGUCACUGAAAAGGUUAGCCAGCUGUAGGACUCGAACCCACAUCUUCUGGAUUACCGAUUACCAAUCCAGAAGAUGUGGGUUCGAGUCCUACAGCCUGCUAACGUUUUCAGUGACUUCCAUCUUUCAUGCAGCAUUUUUACCACUUUCCCUUGUUGAUUUUUUGCAUCCUCCUCCUUUUCCAGCAUCAGAUGUCCAUAUUCUCUGUUACAAAGGGGAGGUGUUUUUUGUAAAAGCUUACCACAGUGUACCGAGCUCCUGAACCUUACAAGUGUUCUAGGCCCAUAAUGGCGUGUGCCAUUCUUUAUAUGUGAAAACCUCAGCUCAGCCAACAAAGUCAUCCUAAGGGAGGCCGGAAUAUAUGCAAAGCAACACAAUUUUGCAUUUGUAUGAGUUUGCUAUGCCCCAUAUUUCUGAGACAGAGUGAACGAGAUAAGGUGCAUCGUAUCAUGCACAGACGUGACCUCUCACUGCUGUAGGUCGGCCCACUCUGAUGUUCAUGUUCAUGUUCUGCAUCAUUAUAUGCCUUGUCAAAAAUCAGGUUCCUUCCUGUUCCAAUGAUGUUGAAAGUCUACUACACCUUAGUUCACUCGCACCUUAAUUGUGCAGCUGAAGUGUACGGUCUUUGUUACUGAUUCCAAAGCUAGUACUACGAACAAUACUUAGAAUUCCAGCAGCUAAUUCCAUCAUUUUUCCUUUCUCGUUCCUAUUAGUUACAAAAUACAAAGUUUAAUCUGCACUGCUGACAUGCCGCAUAUUGUAACCGUCACUAAUAUUGUUUUCCCAUAUCUGCUACGACGGGAUUUCUCUACUUUCGUCUAUCCCCACCACACGCAAGAUAUGGAACACACUCACUGUAUUACACUGACCCAGACUUAUGGAAUAAAUUGCCAUUUCAUAUACACCAGAUCAAUAACUAUAUAUUUUCUGUUCAAGAGGAAAGUUAGUGUAUUUCCUUGCGUGCAUGUACAACCCUGUUGUAUGAUUGUCUUUGAGUUCACCGAUUACUUUUUGCAUUUUUUGCUUGGUUUGAAAUGUGUUUUGCGUACCAAAGAUAAGCUAAAUUUUGUAAUAUUACAGCAUGUAUCGGUCGAUAAUAGUAGUCUUGAUCUUUCUCUUGUUUUAUAUCCAGGAGUUUUUUAAUUUACUCGAGAUGCCAAAUGUUGCCUCACAAGAUUAUAUUCGUCUACCUAUACAUGAUGUGUUGUUACCUAUGGGAGUGCGUAACAGGCUUGUCCUAGCAGUCCCAUAGGUAACAACACAUAAUGUACAGGCAGACAAAUAAACUAUCAAUAUCUAUCUAUCUUUUGGAGACCUCACACUCAUUUCCCUUUGAGUCUCGGACUCUUUUGGCUCCAGUGCUUCAGCAUUUGGCUUAGCUUAGCUCCACUUAUGUUUAUGAUUACUUUUGAAUGCCACCUGCUUUUCCAUCUUUUUUUGCAGCCGGAAGCGAACGACUCUCUUCACAUUGUGUAUCUCAUUCCGAGCCCUUCCCAUUACCAACGCCUUCAACUUUGCUAGCAGGGUAUCUAUGGCCACAGCAAUCUUUUACCCCCAAUAUCUCAAACGACUGCUAUGGCCAUGUACAAUCCAACUUUUCUAAUUUGUCCCUCACACUCAACCGCCACUCAGAAGAAAGGCGGAUGGAGGAUGGGAGAUGGUGCAUUUGUAAAUUGCUGUAAAUAAACAAGUGAUUGAAACGUA